rnacentral:rRNA from 1 species
GACGAACGCUGGCGGCGUGCUUAACACAUGCAAGUCGAACGGAAAGGCCCAGCUUUUGUGGGGUGCUCGAGUGGCGAACGGGUGAGUAACACGUGAGUAACCUGCCCUUGACUUUGGGAUAACUUCAGGAAACUGGGGCUAAUACCGGAUAGGAGUUCCUGCUGCAUGGUGGGGGUUGGAAAGUUUCGGCGGUUGGGGAUGGACUCGCGGCUUAUCAGCUUGUUGGUGGGGUAGUGGCUUACCAAGGCUUUGACGGGUAGCCGGCCUGAGAGGGUGACCGGCCACAUUGGGACUGAGAUACGGCCCAGACUCCUACGGGAGGCAGCAGUGGGGAAUAUUGCACAAUGGGCGGAAGCCUGAUGCAGCAACGCCGCGUGCGGGAUGACGGCCUUCGGGUUGUAAACCGCUUUCGCCUGUGACGAAGCGUGAGUGACGGUAAUGGGUAAAGAAGCACCGGCUAACUACGUG